UACGGGGGGGGCAAGCGUUGUUCGGAAUUACUGGGCGUAAAGGGCUCGUAGGUGGCCAAUUAAGUCAGACGUGAAAUCCCCAGGCUCAACUUGGGAACUGCGUCUGAUACUGGUUGGCUUGAAUUCGGGAGAGGGAUGCAGAAUUCCAGGUGUAGCGGUGAAAUGCGUAGAUAUCUGGAGGAACACCGGUGGCGAAGGCGGGUCUCUGGGCCGAUACUGACGCUGAGGAGCGAAAGCGUGGGGAGCGAACAGG
rnacentral:rRNA from 1 species